rnacentral:lncRNA from 1 species
UUAUUUUCCUUUUAAUUUAAAUUUUAAACAUGGGGUAGUAUAACUAUUCUAAGAAUUCACCAUAUGCUUAACUCAAGUUUAUGCAGACCCUCCCUUAAAGAGCCAGCAAGCUCAAUAUCCUAGAACCCAUUUUAAGCAAUUAUAAAGUAUCUGUUAGAUAUCAUUCAUCUGACCAGAAAUAUGUAUAGCAUCUAUGCAUUGUAAUAGUGUCAAACUUGAAAUAUAGUAAAAGGCAGUGACAAAUGUGUGUUUUCACCUGAAUUUAUUUAUGAAAUUUCUAUUUAUGUCCAUUAAUUUCUUAUUUUUCAUU